rnacentral:rRNA from 1 species
ACCUGCGGAGGAUCAUUAAAAGUAAUAUAUAUUCAUUCGAAUAUACAUUUCUAACCCCUUGUCUAAACCACCUGUUGCUUCCGGCUGUUUGGGCUGUAUAGUUAGCUGUAUAGCCUGGCCGGAAGGUUAACAUAAAAUAUUGUAUUUAGAGUCUUCUGAAUUUUAAAAUAAAAGUUAAAACUUUCAACAACGGAUCUCUUGGUUCUCGCAUCGAUGAAGAACGCAGCGAAAUGCGAUAAGUAGUGUGAAUUGCAGAAUUCAGUGAAUCAUCGAAUCUUUGAACGCACAUUGCGCCUUCCGGUAUUCCGGAAGGCAUGCCUGUCCGAGCGUCAUCAAAAACCACUCAAGUAGUUUUGCUUGGUUAUGAAAGAAGAGUUUGCUUGCGAAUUCCCUUUCGAAAUUCAAUGGCGGAGGGUCUCAUGAUUCCGGCGUAGUAAUAACUUAUUCGCUUGGUCAUUGUGACAAUCCUGCCUCAAACCCCCAAUUCUAGUGUUUGACCUCGGAUCAGGUAGGGAUACCCGCUGAACUUAAGCAUAUCAAUAAGCGGAGGA